rnacentral:misc_RNA from 1 species
AAGAGUAAGGGUCUCCCCCCUCGGGGGGAUCAAAGGCCCGAACCUCCCACCCUUUGUCGUCGAACAAAAGUUUGUUGCUUUGGCGGGACCGCCGGCCCCCGUGGCCGGCUGCCGGGUCCCAACCGAUCGGGUAUGCGCCCGCCAGAGGUAAAAACUCCAACUCUUUGUAUUGAAAAACAGUCUGAGCAAGUAAUUGAUAAAUCAAUCA